AUGAACGCUGGCGGCGUGCCUAAUACAUGCAAGUCGAGCGAACAGACGAGGAGCUUGCUCCUCUGAUGUUAGCGGCGGACGGGUGAGUAACACGUGGAUAACCUACCUAUAAGACUGGGAUAACUUCGGGAAACCGGAGCUAAUACCGGAUAACAUGUUGAACCGCAUGGUUCAACAGUGAAAGACGGUUUUGCUGUCACUUAUAGAUGGAUCCGCGCCGCAUUAGCUAGUUGGUAAGGUAACGGCUUACCAAGGCAACGAUGCGUAGCCGACCUGAGAGGGUGAUCGGCCACACUGGAACUGAGACACGGUCCAGACUCCUACGGGAGGCAGCAGUAGGGAAUCUUCCGCAAUGGGCGAAAGCCUGACGGAGCAACGCCGCGUGAGUGAAGAAGGUCUUCGGAUCGUAAAACUCUGUUAUUAGGGAAGAACAAAUGUGUAAGUAACUAUGCACGUCUUGACGGUACCUAAUCAGAAAGCCACGGCUAACUACGUG
rnacentral:rRNA from 1 species